GGUCGAUUGAAAUACAUAUACAAAUAUGGAAAAAUCUGAAAAAUUGAAUUUUAGUCAACUAAGAUAUCAAUAUAUUGCGGUCAUUUGCGUAAACAUGCUGGGAGUUUCACAAGGAUACAGUAUUGGAUGGGUGACACCGUCACUGCAAAUUUUACGAUCGGAAAAUAGUCCACUAGAAAGUGGGCCAAUCACAUUGCUCGAAACGACCUUACUUGGUUUCUUACCAUGCGUGGGCUCAUUUUUCGGGACAAUUUUAUUUUCCAUUAUAUCGAAACAUUUGGGAAUCAUCGCUUCAAUCACUUUACUUUCGAUUCCAAAUAUGGCGUUUUGGACAAUUUUGAUUCAAUCGAAUUCGAUAAACAUGAUUUUAUUGGGUCAAUUGAUCACUGGUAUGACAUACGGUGGAAUGCACUUGUGCGUUCCAUUAUUUGUUGCAGAGAUGGCAGAUCCAAGAAUUCGAGGAUUCCUCGGUUCCAUAUUAAACUUAUGCACAACCUCCGGAAUGUUGGGUGCUUAUAUUUCCGGAGCGUUUCUGGACUAUGCCCACGUUCCUUUGGUUAUACUUCCCUUUCCUGUAAUAUUUUUGCUUUCAAUGAUAAUUUUACCAGAAACCCCGAGCAGUCUGCUGCGACGGAAUAAAAUUGAGGCUGCCAAAAAGUCGAUACAAUUUUACAAUAAUGGGAACGAUAGCAGUAAGAAUGGAUUUGAUGCGGAUGCUGCAAUACAAAAGCUGCAAAUUGUCGUAGCUCAACGAGAGCUGGAAACACAAGAAGGAAGUUGGAAGUUCAUUUUGAGAAAAGAAUCUCUGAAGGGACUAGCUACCGGACUAUCUUUAACAGCAAUCGUGACCUUAAGUGCAGUGCACGCUUUUACAACAUUCGCGUCAGAUUUGUUUACUCAAUCGAAAGCCAACUUUGACGCCAAUUUGUCUGUGAUCAUCGUAGGGGUACUGAAUUUACUCGGAACAGCCGCUUCUGUGGUGUUAAUCGAUUCAUGGGGUCGGAGGAAACUUUUCGGACUUUGUUGUACCCUUUCUAGUGUCGCUUUAAUCGCGUUCGGUAUAUUUUCUUACAUCAGCAAUCGAGGCUUUGACAUGGCUUUGUUUUACUGGGUACCCGUAACUUGUGUCUCGUUAUUCAUUUUCGCAAGCGCAGCUGGAUUGAGACCGCUUCCGUUCAUAUAUACAGCCGAAAUACUGCCGAGCAAUAAUUCGCGGAUUUCUCGGCUCAAUAUUAAACCUAAGCAUAACCUUUGGUAUGUUGUGUGCAUAUAUUACAGGAGCAUUUUUGGACUACUCCAACGUUCCAUUGAUUAUACUUCCCUUUCCCGUGAUAUUUUUGCUUUCCAUGAUAAUUUUACCGGAAACUCCGAGCAGUCUAUUGCGACAAAAUAAAAUUGAGGCUGCCAAGAAGUCGAUUAAAUUCUACAAUAAUGGAAACGACAGCAGUAAGAAUGGAUUCGAUACGGUUGCUGAAAUACAAAAGCUGAAUAAUGUCUUAACUCAACGAGAGCUGGAAAGACAAGAAGGCAGUUGGAAGCUCAUUUUGAACAAAGAAUCACUAAAGGGACUAGGUACCGGACUAUCGUUAACAGCAAUCGUGACCUUAAGUGCAGUGCACGCUUUUGCAACAUUCGCGUCGGAUUUGUUCACUCAAUCGAAAGCCAACUUUGACGUCAA